AAUUAUAUAUUCAACACAACAGGCCUGCACAUGAAGAAGAUUUAAAUGGGUAGAUAGAACUAAGCACUAAUGAAAUAUUCUCAAAAUGUCUAGAGCAUACUGCAUUAUUUGGAAUCAGACAAAAUAAAGAAAAAAGGAUGAAGAAUAUUUAGCAGCAUUCACCAACUAUGAACACUUAAAUCAAAGGAAGCAACAUCAUCUAAAUCUUUCUUCUCCUUUGAAUUUUUUUCUUAAUUAAUAACAUGUUGAUAUAUUCAAAGAAUUGAGAAACAUGGUUACUCUUUG
rnacentral:misc_RNA from 1 species